rnacentral:rRNA from 1 species
AGUCUGGUGCCAGCAGCCGCGGUAAUUCCAGCUCCGAUAGCGUAUAUUAAACUUGUUGCAGUUAAAAAGCUCGUAGUUGAAUUUCUGCGUUGCGUGAUUCUUGCUUUUUGCUUGACUUUCGCUUCGCUUUUUUUUUACUUUGAGAAAAUGAUAGUGUGUAUCGCAUACUUUUUGUCUUGAAUACUUCAGCAUGGAAUACUAGAGUAGACCUUGGUUAUAUUUUGUUGGUUUUUGAACCUUGGUAAUGGUUAAUA